rnacentral:rRNA from 1 species
GUUAUAGGGUCAAGUGAAUAAGUGCAUAUCGUGGAUGCCUUGGCGAUUACAGGCGAUGAAGGACGUUGUAGCCUGCGAUAAGCUGCGGGGAGCUGGCAAACAAGCUUUGAUCCGCAGAUUUCCGAAUGGGGAAACCCACCCGUAAGGGUAUCCCGUGCUGAAUACAUAGGCACGUGGAAGCGAACCCGGCGAACUGAAACAUCUAAGUAGCCGGAGGAAAAGAAAUCAACCGAGAUUCCGAAAGUAGUGGCGAGCGAAAUUGGAACAGCCUUGAAGUUUUAGCAUCUUAGUUAACAGAACGCUCUGGAAAGUGCGGCCAUAGUGGGUGAUAGCCCCGUAUGUGAAAACUCUGGUGUGGAACUAAGCUUCGAACAAGUAGGGCGGGACACGUGAAAUCCUGUCUGAACAUGGGGGGACCAUCCUCCAAGGCUAAAUACUCGUAAUCGACCGAUAGUGAACUAGUACCGUGAGGGAAAGGCGAAAAGAACCCCGGGAGGGGAGUGAAAUAGAUCCUGAAACGAUAUGCAUACAAACAGUCGGAGCCCGCAAGGGUGACGGCGUACCUUUUGUAUAAUGGGUCAGCGACUUACGUUUAGUAGCAAGCUUAACCAAUAGGGAAGGCGCAGCGAAAGCGAGUCCGAAUAGGGCGAUUAGUUGCUAGGCGUAGACCCGAAACCGGAUGAUCUACUCAUGGCCAGGGUGAAGGCACGGUAACACGUGCUGGAGGCCCGAACCCACUAGUGUUGCAAAACUAGGGGAUGAGCUGUGGGUAGGGGUGAAAGGCUAAACAAAUCCGGAAAUAGCUGGUUCUCCCCGAAAACUAUUUAGGUAGUGCCUCGCGUAUUGCUCCAGGGGGUAGAGCACUGUAAUGGUUGUUGGGGUCAUUGCGACUUACUUCGCCAUAGCAAACUCCGAAUACCUGGAAGUAUUAGCGCGGGAGACAGAGCACUGGGUGCUAACGUCCAGACUCAAGAGGGAAACAACCCAGACCGCCAGCUAAGGUCCCUAAUAUUGGCUAAGUGGGAAACGAAGUGGGAAGGCAUUGACAGUCAGGAGGUUGGCUUAGAAGCAGCCAUCCUUUAAAGAAAGCGUAAUAGCUCACUGAUCGAGUCGUCCUGCGCGGAAGAUGUAACGGGGCUAAGCCAAUAACCGAAGCUGCGGAUGUGCACUUUGUGCACGUGGUAGGGGAGCGUUCUGUACGCCUGCGAAGGUGUCUCGUAAGGGAUGCUGGAGGUAUCAGAAGUGCGAAUGCUGACAUGAGUAGCGUUAAACAAAGUGAAAAACUUUGUCGCCGAAAGCGCAAGGUUUCCUACGCAACGUUAAUCGACGUAGGGUGAGUCGGCCCCUAAGGCGAGGGUGAAAACCGUAGCUGAUGGGAAGCAGGUUAAUAUUCCUGCACCAUUGUUCAAUGCGAUGGGGGGACGGAGAAGGUUAGCUCAGCCGGGUGUUGGAUGUCCCGGUUUAAGCAUGUAGCCGUGCCUGGUAGGCAAAUC